ACGUAGGGUGCGAGCGUUAAUCGGAAUUACUGGGCGUAAAGCGUGCGCAGGCGGUUUUGUAAGCCAGAUGUGAAAUCCCCGGGCCUAACCUGGGAAUGGCAUUUGGGACUGCAAGGCUUGAGUGCGGCAGAGGAGACUGGAAUUCCUGGCGUAGCAGUGAAAUGCGUAGAUAUCAGGAGGAACACCGAUGGCGAAGGCAGGUCUCUGGGCUGACACUGACGCUGAGGCGCGAAAGCCAGGGGAGCAAACGGGA
rnacentral:rRNA from 1 species